CCAAGAUUAGCAAAAGUGUUACACGUUGGAGUUUGGGUCCAAAAAAGAUAUUUAUCCUUGU
rnacentral:tRNA from 1 species